rnacentral:rRNA from 1 species
CCUGCCGGCAGCCAUAUGCUUGUCUUAAAGAUUAAGCCAUGCAAGUCUAAGUGUAGCGAUAUAAAGCGGAACUGCGGAGGGCUCAUUAAAUCAGUUAUAACCCACACGAGACACACGAAUGGAUAACUGCAGUAAUUCUGGAGCUAAUACAUAGGAAAAGGGCCGGGUAACCGGCUUGUGUUUGGUCGAGUACAGACUAACCAGGGGAUAAAACCCCUUUUAGGCUGAAACAGAUCAAUUACGCUGACCGCAUUGCCUUGUGCAGGCGGCACUGCGUUCGGGUUUCUGCCCUAUCAACUUUUAGCCAGUGUAUUGCACUGACUAGGUGAUAACGGGUGACGGGGAAUUAGGGUUCGAUUCCGGAGAGGGCGCCUGAGAAAUGGCGACUACUUCUAAGGAAGGCAGCAGGCGCGCAAAUUACCCACUCUCAAUACGAGGAGGUAGUGACAACACGUAAUGAUGGCGGCCCUUAACGGGGCUGUCAAUCGGAAUGAGUUCAGUGUAAAUAACUGUACAAGGAUCAAUCAGAGGGCAAGUCUGGUGCCAGCAGCCGCGGUAAUUCCAGCUCUGAUAGCGUAUGCUUAAGUUGUUGUAGUUAAAAGGCUCGUAGUCUAACCUAAGGCUGGCUCUGGUCGCAGGUCGGGAGAUCUGCUGUCAGGCGUCAGCGAGUUCGUCAGCCUCUUCUGCUGCCCUUAAGUGGGUGGUUUGCGGACCUGGCGGAUUUACCUUGAAUAAAACUGAGUGCUUAAAGCAAGCGAUAGCGUGAAAGUCGCAGCAUGGGAUAAUAGAAUAUGGCUCUGGUCUUGUUGGCUAGUCCGAGGCCGGGGCAAUGAUCAAUGGGGGUGGUUGGGGGUGUUCAUAUUGACCCGCUAGAGGUGAAAUUCUUGGACCGGGUCAAGAUGUACUAGUGCGAAGGCAUUCACCAAGGUCACUUCCGUCGAUCAAGAACGAUAGUUAGGGGAUCGAAGACGAUCAGAUACCGUCGUAGUCUUAACAGUAAACUUUACCGACCAGGGAUUGGAGGACGUUACACGGAUGACUCCUUCAGCACCUUGCGAGAAAUCACGAGUCUUUGGGUUCUGGGGGGAGUAUGGUCGCAAGGCUGAAACUUAAAGGAAUUGACGGAAGGGCACCACCAGGAGUGGAACCUGCGGCUUAAUUUGAC